GCAUACUAGAGACCGGCGCACGGGUGCGUAACGCGUAUGCAAUCUACCUUUUACAGAGGGAUAGCCCAGAGAAAUUUGGAUUAAUACCUCAUAGCAUUGCGAAAUGGCAUCAUUUUGCAAUUAAAGUCACAACGGUAAAAGAUGAGCAUGCGUCCCAUUAGCUAGUUGGUAAGGUAACGGCUUACCAAGGCAACGAUGGGUAGGGGUCCUGAGAGGGAGAUCCCCCACACUGGUACUGAGACACGGACCAGACUCCUACGGGAGGCAGCAGUGAGGAAUAUUGGACAAUGGGCGCAAGCCUGAUCCAGCCAUGCCGCGUGCAGGAUGAAGCAUCUAUGGUGUGUAAACUGCUUUUGUACGAGAAGAAACAUCCCGACGUGUCGGGACUUGACGGUAUCGUAAGAAUAAGGACCGGCUAACUCCGUGCCAGCAGCCGCGGUAAUACGGAGGGUCCAAGCGUUAUCCGGAAUCAUUGGGUUUAAAGGGUCCGUAGGCGGUCUUAUAAGUCAGUGGUGAAAUCUCCCCGCUCAACGGGGAAACGGCCAUUGAUACUGUAGGACUUGAAUUAUUAGGAAGUAACUAGAAUAUGUAGUGUAGCGGUGAAAUGCUUAGAGAUUACAUGGAAUACCAAUUGCGAAGGCAGGUUACUACUAAUUGAUUGACGCUGAU
rnacentral:rRNA from 1 species